GACAUAGGUGGCGAACGUUAUCCGGAAUUAUUGGGCGUAAAGGAUGCGUAGAUGGUAGAAUAAGUUACUGGUCGAUGCCAAACUCAAUUUGACGGUAGCUGGUAAUACUGUUCUGCUCGAGGACAGGAGAGGUUGAUGGAAUUCUGUGUGGAGCGGUGAAAUGCGUUGAUCUACAGAGGAACACCAAAAAAGGCGAAGGCAGUCAACUAUUCUGUUCCUGACAUUGAGGCAUGAAAGCGUGGGGAGCAAACCGG
rnacentral:rRNA from 1 species